AAAAAAUAAAUAACCGGAGGAAAUACCCGGAGAGGGAAGACUUUAACUAGUGACACGCAGAUGUGCGAGUCCCUAAAUUGUAUGAGAGGACAGUCCACCCCGCUUUCAGGCAAGUUUAAAAACAUGACUUCGGACUCUCUUUGUGAUUGUUGUCGCUCCACUUAAUACAGCACCUCAGCGAAGAGCACUAACGACGAGGCAAUACGCCACCUGCAUGCAAUUAAAACGAGAAACCACUUGGCGGGCUGCUUUUCUUAAUUUCCCCCCCUCCGCCCCCCGUGCGAGUUAGGGAUACACAUGAACAUUUUUGCCUUGAGACUGCUAUAGGCGACCCCCGUGGGAUACCGCUCUAUCAGCCCACCAUGCAGAACAGUAAGUGAC